UUUUAUUUGAGAGUUUGAUCCUGGCUCAGGAUGAACGCUGGCGGCGUGCCUAACACAUGCAAGUUGAGCGAUUUACUUCGGUAAAGAGCGGCGGACGGGUGAGUAACGCGUGGGUAACCUACCCUGUACACACGGAUAACAUACCGAAAGGUAUGCUAAUACGGGAUAAUAUAUUUGAGAGGCAUCUCUUGAAUAUCAAAGGUGAGCCAGUACAGGAUGGACCCGCGUCUGAUUAGCUAGUUGGUAAGGUAACGGCUUACCAAGGCGACGAUCAGUAGCCGACCUGAGAGGGUGAUCGGCCACAUUGGAACUGAGACACGGUCCAAACUCCUACGGGAGGCAGCAGUGGGGAAUAUUGCACAAUGGGCGAAAGCCUGAUGCAGCAACGCCGCGUGAGUGAUGAAGGCCUUCGGGUCGUAAAACUCUGUCCUCAAGGAAGAUAAUGACGGUACUUGAGGAGGAAGCCCCG
rnacentral:rRNA from 1 species